GACGAACGCUGGCGGCGUGCCUAAUACAUGCAAGUAGAACGCUGAAGGAGGAGCUUGCUUCUCUGGAUGAGUUGCGAACGGGUGAGUAACGCGUAGGUAACCUGCCUGGUAGCGGGGGAUGACUAUUGGAAACGAUAGCUAAUACCGCAUAACAGUAGAUAUCGCAUGAUAUCUACUUGAAAGGUGCAAUUGCAUCACUACCAGAUGGACCUGCGUUGUAUUAGCUAGUUGGUGAGGUAACGGCUCACCAAGGCGACGAUACAUAGCCGACCUGAGAGGGUGAUCGGCCACACUGGGACUGAGACACGGCCCAGACUCCUACGGGAGGCAGCAGUAGGGAAUCUUCGGCAAUGGACGGAAGUCUGACCGAGCAACGCCGCGUGAGUGAAGAAGGUUUUCGGAUCGUAAAGCUCUGUUGUAAGAGAAGAACGAGUGUGAGAGUGGAAAGUUCACACUGUGACGGUAUCUUACCAGAAAGGGACGGCUAACUACGUG
rnacentral:rRNA from 1 species